AUAUCAAUAAGCGGAGGAGAAAAAACUAACAAGGAUUCCCCUAGUAACGGCGAGUGAAGCGGGAUGAGCUCAAAUUUGAAAGCUGGCACCUUCGGUGUCCGCAUUGUAAUCUCGAGAAGUAGUUUCUGUGUUGGGCCAUGUACAAGUUCCUUGGAAUAGGACAUCAGAGAGGGUGAGAAUCCCGUACUUGACAUGGACCCCAAUGCUUUGUGAUCUGCUCUCUAUGAGUCGAGUUGUUUGGGAAUGCAGCUCAAAAUGGGUGGUAAAUUCCAUCUAAAGCUAAAUAUUGGGGAGAGACCGAUAGCGAACAAGUACCGUGAGGGAAAGAUGAAAAGCACUUUGGAAAGAGAGUUAAACAGUACGUGAAAUUGUCAAAAGGGAAGCGCUUGAGGUUAGCUAUGCAUGCAGUAUUCAGCCUUUCUUUUGAUGGGUGUAUUUGCUGUUUUGCAGGCCAGCAUCGGUUUUGUCUGCUGGAUAAUGGUAAGGAGAAUGUGGCAUCCUCGGAUGUGUUAUAGCUUCUUACUUGAUACAGUGGAUGGGACCGAGGACCGCAGUGUGCCGUAUGGCGGCUCUUCGGAGACCUUCGCACUUAGGAUGCUGGCGUAAUGGCCUUAAGCGGCCCGUCUUGAAACACGGACCA
rnacentral:rRNA from 1 species